ACCUGGGUGGCUCAGUCAGUUGAGCAUCUGACUUGAUUUUGGCUUAGGUCAUGAUCAUGGGGAUGUGGGAUCGAGCCCCACCUUGGGCU
rnacentral:tRNA from 1 species